GACGUAGGGUGCGAGCGUUGUCCGGAUUUAUUGGGCGUAAAGAGCUCUUAGGCGGUUUCGUAAGUCAGAAGUUAAAUCACCAGGCUCAACCUGGUGCUGCUUUUGAUACUGCGAUGACUUGAGUGUGGCAGGGGGGAACAGAAUUCCACGUGUAGCGGUGAAAUGCGCAGAUAUGUGGAGGAACACCGGUGGCGAAGGCGGGUCUCUGGGCAACAACUGACGCUGAGGAGCGAAAGCGUGGGGAGCGAACAGG
rnacentral:rRNA from 1 species